UCUGGGUCAGAGUGAUGGUGUCGCACACACUGCUGGGAGAUGUCAUCACAUGCUACCUCCUUCGGUGAUGUCAUCACCCAGCACCAUGAUGUCCACUGAGAGGCACGGG
rnacentral:pre_miRNA from 13 species